rnacentral:rRNA from 1 species
AGACCCGAAACCCGGUGAUCUAGCCAUGGGCAGGUUGAAGGUUGGGUAACACUAACUGGAGGACCGAACCGACUAAUGUUGAAAAAUUAGCGGAUGACCUGUGGCUGGGGGUGAAAGGCCAAUCAAACCGGGAGAUAGCUGGUUCUCCCCGAAAGCUAUUUAGGUAGCGCCUCGUGAAUUCAUCUCCGGGGGUAGAGCACUGUUUCGGCUAGGGGGCCAUCCCGGCUUACCAACCCGAUGCAAACUGCGAAUACCGGAGAAUGUUAUCACGGGAGACACACGGCGGGUGCUAACGUCCGUCGUGAAGAGGGAAACAACCCAGACCGCCAGCUAAGGUCCCAAAGUCAUGGUUAAGUGGGAAACGAUGUGGGAAGGCCCAGACAGCCAGGAUGUUGGCUUAGAAGCAGCCAUCAUUUAAAGAAAGCGUAAUAGCUCACUGGUCGAGUCGGCCUGCGCGGAAGAUGUAACGGGGCUAAACCAUGCACCGAAGCUGCGGCAGCGACGCUUAUGCGUUGUUGGGUAGGGGAGCGUUCUGUAAGCCUGUGAAGGUGGCCUGUGAGGGUUGCUGGAGGUAUCAGA